AUGCGGUCAAACGAAUUUCUUCCGCAUAGUUGUUACUGACUGUGUCGGUCCUGGAAGAAAGGAAUUUUCGAAAGUAUUUCUCGUAGUGCCGUGUAUUUUCGGUUUUGGGGGAUUCACAGUUGUCCAAGAUUGGAGCAACUUGAUCUGAAAUGGGCCUUGAAACUGAAGAUUCUGGGGAACUGGGUUAUUAUAAGUCUGUCAUUUAGGCUGUUGUUAGAGCCUGGCUAAGUUCUAAUGCCAAUUGUUGAGAACAAGAAAUAUCUCGGGAAACUAACUGGAGGAGUAACUGGAAUGUCUUGUAGGGUUGAAAUUAGUCCUAGCCUCAGAGAAAAUUAUAAUGGGCUGACUCAGCACGAAGAUGCAUUUACAGAUUCGGAUAUUCGCCAAGUCCUAUUGGAUUAAGUGCUACAAAGAGUUCCUAGUGGGUCAAAUUGAAGGUCUGCUGCAGAAAAUAUAUUAACUCUAACCUAAUUUUGAAAGAAAUGCCAUCUUUGUUCGUGUUGCUGGUUAUGCAAAACAAAUGGAACUUUAAAUAGCUACAGUUUCUUUACUAGACUUUACUUGAGUGUUAUGAAUCACUUACAAGAAUUAUCAAUAUUUGAUAUAAUUAGAAACUAUAUCUUCAUUCUAAGAAUAUUAUAAAUUUGAUGUAAUUUUUUGGAACAUAAGCAUUAUGCAAGUUAAGACAUUUUUCAUAGAUUUUACCAUAAUCCUUUUAUAAAUAGAACAAAAAAUUAAUUUUCGAAAACUACAUUAUUAAACAUUGCAGUGAGAUUAAAUCCUGUAAGCAUAAUUGAAAUGUCUGUUAGUGUUUCGUGAUGGUAAAAAAUCAAGGCUUGAUAGCAAUGUGCAGUUAACCCAAAUUGUUGAUGUUAUUUAUUUCUUUGUUAACUGUUAUUCCAGUCAAUCAUUACACUACACCUGACAGUCCUAGCUGAACUUGUGCUCACAUCUG